rnacentral:lncRNA from 13 species
AAAAAAGAAGAAGAACAAGGAAGGUUUUCAUCUGUCUACUUUAGUGGGACACUAUUUCAGCCUGUACUCCACACUUCUCCCUAUUUACAGCUGCAGAUAACACCUGGCUGACUAGAGAGGUACAAAAGGCUUUCUCCUGUAGAAAAGUUACUCUUCAUAUUGGACCAUAGCACAUUCAGAAAGAAACUAUCCAUUCACACUCCCUUCAGAUCCAGAGGACAGAAAUGAAUGGUUCAUAUGGCACCUCUCUAGCUACUGAGUAGCAUCUCUGCUGUAAUAUUGUCCACUGGGUAAAUGCUAUUUUUCAUUAUAAUAGUAAAAUAUGAACACCAGACUAAGUUCAAUAACACUCAUAUUGUGGGCAGUAGAAACUGGAGAAAAGGCCUAUGUCUUACGAAAGUUUGAAGAAAAAGGUAUGUAAGAAGCACAUUGGCACAGCAGUCCAAUACAGCUAGUGUAAAUCAGUGUCACUCCCUCCAAACAAGCAGACCUACACUGAUUUACACCAGCUGAGGCACCAGAUGAAGAUGGUCAUAAAUUUUAUGGUGGUUUUUGACUUUGGACUUCCUCCUUUUUCAAGGAUAUGCGUGAUGAGUGCUAUUCCUUUUGAGAAGCUGUGCUGGAAAUUGCUGUGAGACCUGGGAAGAGAAGGUAAGCCCAGAAGAAGACAGGAGAGGUGUUAUGUAAAGGCUGGACUGCAGUCACCCUAUCGCCACUGAAAUAUUUCCCAGGUGUAAAAAAUAUAAUUGCUAAGCGUUGUAACAGCACAUUAAGGAAGUGGGCAUACAACAUCUUUUUCUGAGGAGGAAUUUCACUUAAAAACCUCAUUCUCCCAUACUAUGUCCAAUAAAUCUAGUAACAAUUUGUUUUGCUAGUCUUUUCCACCUUCCAUCUUGAACUCUUCUGAAAGUGUUCCUGCAUGGUACAGUAGCUGAGACACUGGAAGCAGCCUGUAUUAGUUGAGUACAACUUAAUCCUCCCUGCUGGCACAAAUGAAGGGUUAACACAAAGGUGCAAAUGAAUGCAGAUUCUCUUCAGGCUGUGUUACAGUUCCAGUUCCAGAAAAGUUAUAUGUACUCGUACAUCGUGAAUUUAAAACUGUGAAAAAGCCACCCCUCCAAUAUCUAGAAAGUCCUUCUUCCUUUUGGGAAGUUCCUAGCCCUCAAGCUUCUUUCUGCAAGGAUAAUCAUGUGCAUUGAGUACACCCUAUGGAGUCAAGAACUUGGAAGAUUUUUACAAA